rnacentral:lncRNA from 1 species
AUAACAAUGCUCAUGCAGGAGUUCCCAUCUAUGUUUGGUUUUUCUGUGAGCCACACCACCCGAGCUCCAAGAAAUAUUGAGGAAGAUGGGGUCCAUUACCAUUUCACUGAGAAAAGUGUAAUGGAGAAAGAGAUUAAAAAUGGAAAGUUUCUUGAGUUUGCUUCUGUCCGUGGUAAUUUGUAAGAAUGGAAAGUUUCUUGAGUUUGCUUCUGUCCAUGGUAAUUUGUAUGGAACCAGUGUUGAGGCUGUUGAAAUGGUAGCAGAUGCAGGGAAAGUAAGUUCUUUCUACUGAAAUAUUUUUGGAACUCAUUUUAUUGGAAGCUUGGGCAUUAUAACAUUAAAUUGCAGGCAUGCAUGCACUUUUCACACUAUCCAAAUCAAACUCUCCUUAAAGGAGCCUUGCUUUUUAUUCGUUCAGAUAUUAACCAAAUUUCUGGAAGCUCUUAUGAUUGGAUUGACUUUUUACAAACUAUUAUGUGUGGAUUUGGAUCCCAGAUGAGUGCAAUGUGAAUGGACUUAUAUCCCAAUUGAUAACAAGAGUUCUGUUAACUUUUUGUCUCUAAGUGAGUGCUAAUGCCUGUUUGCAUAUAUGCCAAUGGGCAUCCAAGCAUAGGCUAUAAGAUUUGGGAUGUAAGGAUUGUCUUAACUUGUAGAGUUGUUAUUCGCUGAACCCUGCAGAAGUGCGGUUAUAGCCUUCUCAGAAGCAUAGCAGAAUAUCAUAUUACAUUGGUUUGUUCUUAACUCAAUAAGUCUUAGGCCAUCAAUUUACAAAAGCAUACAAAGUUAUUAUUAUAUAACACACCUUAUAACUAUAAUGCCUUUUGUCACGUUUCUUUCUCUUUAAAUCUCAAUGGCAUAUAUUAGGGCUGAUUGGCUCUUGUCACAAUCAAAAUUAAGCCUUUAAAAUAUAUGCAAUGCAAUAUGUUGUGGUCUCGUCUCAUGCUGGUCAAGAAACUUAAGUUACUGUUUGAUUACUAUGGUUGCAAUAUUAUUUCAGCUUUGUUAAAUUACCCUCAUUCAGGUAUUAUAUUAUUAUGACCUCUCCUGAUAAAUUUUUUGGUCCCUGUUUCAGAG